CCAUUUCAAGAGUCUGAGUCUACUAAUUCUCUCCCUAACUUUCCUCAGCUGUUCCUAGAUGCGUUUUGGAGUGUUUUCUUGUUGUUGUUUCUAUCAGCUAUGCUUCUGUUUUUUUUGUUUGUUUGUUUGUUUGUUAGUUUUUUGGUGGGAGAAAAACAGUAAAGUAUCAGUCUUAGACUUUGCUGUAUGAUCUUUAUUCCUUACAUAUGAGGCAAGAUCUGGAAGUCUCUGGAUAGACGUGUAGAUGUCUGUUUUACCAGGACAAAAGGAAUACUGCCUAUUCGCAUUAUUUCCAAUAUAUUCAGAUUUCCUGUUUGCUUCCAGUCAUCCUCUAGCAUUGUGGAGGGUGCAGCUCCACCACUUGAUGCAUCUCCAGUAAUGUUCCUACUCUCAUGAGCACCAGAUCAUUUCCUUUCCAGAGAAGCACUAAUGGCGCAUCACAGAAAAUGCGUUACUCUCAAGAUGCUUCAUUUACAAAGGCAUUUGAGGCAUUUCAGCUACAAGUCCCAUGAGGUACCAUGAAAGAGCUCAAUAUCCUUCCCAGUACCUUCUGUAAUGGUCCCACUUGCGUACAUUAAUUCUUCCAAGUAGGUGUCUUCAGUUCUGGUGUUUUCUUUUUUAUUCUGUUGGUCUGACAAACUUAUUUUUUAAGCUCACUUGACAUAUUGUAAGCUGUAUGUACUCAGUCAGGCUUUUGCUGGAGGCCAGUAGUUUGAGAAGGUUGAAUUUCAUUUUGUUGGUGUGAGGGAAUUUAUUCAAGCUGGUUCCUAGUCAAUUUUGUCUUGUUAACUGAUGUUUUAUCAUUUUUGCACAUGCGUCCAGAGGGGACCUACACUGGAUCCAUUUUUUAUGGUGUGGAAAAUAAAUAACAUAAAGAAUGCCUG
rnacentral:lncRNA from 1 species